rnacentral:tRNA from 1 species
UCCCUGGUAGCUCAGUCGGUAGAGAAUCAGCCUGUAGUGCAGGAGACCAGGGUUCGAUUCCUGGGUGGGGAG